GUGUGACUGGGCUAAAUUAAUAUUUACAAAAUAAAUACUAGUAACCUUUACAUGAAAAAAAAGACUGUGUGCAGUUUGGUAUGCUAUUGUGUUGAUUUAAUUAAAUUUGAAUGAUUUAUCUAUUGCAUUUCAUGCAUUUUUAUUUGAAUAAUAUCAGCUGAAAAUCACUGAGUAGAAUUUAAUUAUAUUUUAUCAGUAAAGUUAACAAUGUCAAAAAAUCAAUAAAUUUUAUUCAACUGGUUUGAAUGACGGACAUUUCCGCCCAAGACAUUUGCGCCACAGGGACGUUGAUGUCUGCCAGUCAUCGUCAAGUGCCAUUUUCUCAAGGUGCAUAGCGAAUCUGAAUACUUCAAGAUCACAGGUUUUUGCCUAUGGGAUGGCAGUGUAAGAUCUGCAAGUCUUUGUCUGCUACAAAAGGGAACCUACUCAAGCAUUACAGACUACAGCACGCAACAUUUGGUCGUGGGCAAUCUCAGCCAUGUCUCUAUGAUAGUUGCCCUUGCACAUUCAAAACGCAGAGUGCGCUUCGCACCCAUUUGUCUAGGUACCAUGUAGUUAAGGAAAGUCUACAGCCAAAUAUCAUCUCCACUUAUAAGUGUUUAGUUUGUGAUGCUAGUUGCUCUUCUGAGAAGGACUUCUUUCAGCAUAUUGGAAAUCAUCUGAAAGGCCAUGAAACUGUCAUUUGUGUAUUUGAGGGGUGCAAUUUCCGGACAAAUAUUUACAAUACAUUUCUGAAACACAAAAGCAGAAGACACCAACCUUAUUCUUUGAGUGAUUUUAAGCAAGCUGUGUAUGAGAGACACUAUAAUCGGACAGCCGACCUCUCUGAUAUACCAGAGGCCAGUGCUGAUGAGGGGACAAGUUUAGAUUAUGAUCCCGACUGUGCAUCGUACCUUGUUCUGAAAAGAAUUGGCUUGCUUCUGCUGAAGCUAGAAACCAUCUGUAAUGCAUCUGUGAAGUGCAUUGAUGCUUUGGUUGAAGACCUUCACUUCAUUUCAUCUUCUGCAUCUGUAGCCAUUGUUAGAAAUACACUUGAUUCAACAUUGAAAUUAAAUAAAUGCACUGUAGACCAGGCCAUUGUAACUGACCUGGCAGAACAGCUGUGCAACUUCCAUCCCAUUAGUACAGCACUAGGAGCAGGUGGUCCUCUUAGUUCAGCUUUUAAGAGAAGAAGGUAUUUUAAGGAGCAUUUUCAAUGUGUUGACCCUGUUGAAUAUAUUCUUGAUUUUCAAAAGAACAAGACCUUUCAGUAUGUGCCCAUUCUCAAAACUUUGCAGGAAAUUGUGAAGAAUAAAGACAUUGCAGAGGGAAUCUUAUCCAGGUGUUCAAACAGCACUGGAUAUAUUAAGUCAAUUUUUGAUGGCAAAUUUUACAAGCAAAAUCAUUUUUAUGCUGGAGAGGAAACAAGACUUUCAAUAAUCCUUUAUGUAGAUGAUUUUGAGGUGUGUAACCCAUUAGGGACUUCAAGGAAAAAACACAAAAUUACAGCCAUUUAUUGGGUUUUGGCAAAUUUGCAAUCUGAGUUGCAAUCUGAAUUGACAUCAAUAAACCUAGCUUUACUUUGCAAAGUUGUUGAUGUCAAACAGUUUGAAUACAAAGUCAUUUUGGAACCACUAUUGAAAGAUCUUUGCACUCUAGAACAGGAAGGGGUUUUCAUUCCCAGUGCUGGAAAAAAUAUCAAUGGAACAGUGCACUGUGUUGCAGCUGAUAAUCUUGGUGCACAUUCAAUCAGUGGACUAGUUGAAAGUUUCACAGGGCCAUACACCUGUAGGUUUUGUCUUGGACAUUCUUCCAAGUACCAGACACAUGAAGUGCGAGGUGGAGCAUUUCCACCUCGUACAAAGGAGGACCAUAGUUUGCAUGUACAAACUGUUAAAGAAAAUCCCAGUUUAACACAUUUCUUUGGUGUAAAGCGGUCCUGUCCACUGACUGACAAAUUGACUCACUUUCACUUUGUCUCAGGGUACCCACCAGAUGUACUUCAUGACAUCUUUGAGGGGAUUGUUCCAAGGGAACUGGCAUUGUGUAUUCAGGUUUUCACUAAAAAGAAGUACUUUAAUUUAACUCAGCUUAAUGAGUUAAUUGCAUGUUUCCCCUAUAAGGGAUCAGACAAAACCAACAGCCCUCAGGGAAUCCCUCAAAAUUACACAAGUCGCAAAUCUAUAGGGGGAAAUGCUCAUGAAAACUGGGCCCUAAUAAGGUUGUUGCCACUCAUUAUUGGUUCGCUGAUACCAGAGGGUGAUUCUGCUUGGCAGGUUCUUCUGACUUUAAAAGACAUAGUUGAAUUGGUGGUUGCCCCUGUUCAUACACUUGAGACAAUUGCAUACCUGGACUUUAAAAUAUCAGAACAUCGUGACAGAUUUUUGGACGUUUUUCCAGAAGAGACACUGGCACCCAAGCACCAUUAUUUGGAACACUACCCUACACUGAUCGAAGAAUAUGGGCCUCUGGUUGGUGUAUGGACGAUGCGCUUUGAAGCGAAACACAGCUUUUUUAAGCAAGUUGUGAGGCACACUAACAAUUUCAGGAAUGUCUUGUUGACCCUUUCAACACGACAUCAGAUGAUGAUGGCAUACAACCUGCAAACAGAUGGUGGAAAGCAGGCACUGUGUGUUUCUAAAAUAUCUGAGGUGCCUGUAAGUGUGCUGCAUCCAGACAUACAGGAAACCUUAAGAGAUACGUCCCCACUUGUGUCUACUGUGCUGUUAGCCAAGACUGUCACCUGUUAUGGAACAAGGUACAAUGUUGGAAUGAUUCUUUCCUAUGGCUCUACUGGCGGACUUCCUGACUUUGCUGAGAUUAUUCAGAUUGCAAUUUUGGACAAUUGUGUGCACUUCAUUGUAAAGUUACUUGCUGCCUGGUAUGAAGAGCAUCUAAGAUCGUUUCACUUGGAGGACACUGGUAAAAUGGCACUUUGGGAGCAGCAGAAACUUGGUGAUGUCUACCCCUUGGCUGCAUACAGUGUAGGAGGAAAACGUCUGGUUACACUCAAACGUCACAUCUAUUGUUCGGUUUAGGCUGGCAGAGAUGGAGGAAAAACUGCGAGUGAUCAUUGACGACCGAAUUGAAAAGUUGGUCCUUCCCACCUUCCAGUCCCACCGACUGUAGAGGAGCUGCAAACUAUUGUGAAAGAGAACUUUGGAAUUUCUGAGGAAAUUCAGUUCAGUCUUCAGUAUUUGGACUCAGAAUUUGAAGAUUACUUCACUCUGCACAAAACUGACCAAAUUAAACACAAAGACACGAUAAAGGUUGUCUAUGCUGCCACGGUUAUUCUUAACUUGCAGCAAGUUGAUGAAAGUUUGAUCAAUUCUUUUGGUCGACAGUCAACAGACUGUGACUCAGUUGCUUAUGCUGAGUCAUCAGCAUCAAAUGCAGAGUCAUCAGCAUCAAAUGCAGAGUCCUCUGCUGAAACAUCAUCUUCACACGACACUAUUAUCCUGCCAAGACGGAGAAGCACCACUGAACGUUGUCAGCCAUGGCCAAAGCAGUUCCCCAUUCCACAGUUUGCAUAUGAAACUGAGAUGUACCUUGAAAGAGCCAGUGAAGAUUACCGAAAAGAUGGAAAACUUCUGACUGCCGCAAAGGUCAAAGCAGACAUAUUGGAGAAACUGGCUGAAACUAUAUAUAUGUAUACAGCUUAUCCGUCAAGUGCACAGAUAAGCGAUGUUGCUGAGGCACUGGUCAAGAAAUAUCCUUGUCUGAAGGAACCUGGCUCCUUCUCAGGUUAUUAUGGCUGGCAACAAAGCCUCAAAUACAAGAUGGCAAAUUAUCGCACCAAACUCAGAGGCUACGGUGUUCCUGAGGUGAUGUGCAAUGCCUUGAAGCGCAAGUGCCCUGCAGACCAGAAAUCUGCAAAGAAUGUGAAAAAGCCUCGAAAGGCAGAAGUAAACUACCUCCCACCUUACCCAGCAGGAGAGGAUGAGGAAAGUCAAGAACAGGAAAGGAUUCAGUUGCUAACUGAAGUAAGGAAAAGAGACAACAAAAAAUUGGUCAAAGACAAGAUGGCCAAAACCUUUGCACACCGAAGAAAUGAAAUAGUGAACCAAUCACCCACCUUAGAGGACAUUAAAGCCAGAUGGCCAGCUCUAUUUGAGGCAUCUAAUAUCCAGGAUGAGUUUCACAGAAUCACAACGGUGCACCUGGAAUCAAAGUUCAUGUCCAAGCUGGAUGAAUACUCUCCCAGACUUCUGAGCCUCUUCCACUCAAAGGGCGGAACCAUGGGAUUGAGGUUGCAGACUAUCCUUCUCAAGGCUCCUAGCAAUCCUACCAUCAAUAUAACCAGGGACACUGUCAUCAGGUGUCUGAUGUUGUACCUCGGGGAAUCUGCCGAUCAGCUCUUUAAAGAGUAUGAUGAUGCAGAUGAAGACAGAGUGGCACAGGAUCUUGCUUUACAAGACAUGAAAAUCUACAGCAGCCAGACUAAUCCGUCAGAGGCUACAGAGGACAUCGGAAUCGUGAUUGACGGGACAAAGGUCCUGACUGGUCUGGGUAACUUUCCAAAGGCUUGUGCCAUGCUCAUUGGUUUGACCUAUGCAGUGGAUCUUGCCUAUCCCAAGGAGCUCAAGUACACUUUUGAAGCCUUUCAGAAACCCUUCCUUGAACUGGAUUGUUUGAAGCUUUCCCCAAAAGUGAACAGCCUCAAGAGCAAGCUACUGGCUUAAGAAUGGGUCCCUAUAUACAUUGUGCUCAGUGCUCAGUAAUCAUAAGUCUUAAGUCUUGUUCAGAGAUAAUGUUAUCCAUACUAAUUUAAAAAGUGUGAUAUUAUACUUUAGACUUAUAACUGGCACAAGUAACUGUCAGAUGGACAGUGUUCUGCUAUGUUUUUGCCUCUGAUUUGUUAAAUGUUAGUUGUGAGCACAAGCUAUACUUAUCUGACACUGAGAAAGCUACCUGUGCAACUCGCCUGCCUCAAAUAGCAAGUGCCUUUGUUUUUCUCCAGAAAUAAUUUAUGGCUCUGUUUGCAGGCCUCAAAGCUUCAAUUCUGGAAAGAAAAUUUGGAAAUAUACAUAUACAUCUGUUUUACCUGAUGUAGUUGUGUGUGUUGUGUUGGAAUUGUUAAGUCUCUAUAACAUGGUCUACUUAAAGGCAGUGUCUGAGUUUUAGUGCUGCAGUUAAUUACACGUCAGAUGUGUUCAUUAGAAUGUGUCAUACUCACUUGAAGGAUUCGCUGCUGUAAUUCUUGCUUGUGGCCUUAAUUUGUUUUCAUAUCGUAAGUGUUCUGUCCCUCAAUGCUGGGGCAGUGAUGAGCAGAGGUCAUAGGUCAUUCUGCACUUAGGAGGAACAUCUUUUCUUGUCAGUGUUAUAUCAUUUCAUAAUAAGCCUUGAUCAAAAUACGUAACAGAUUGCCAGGAUAGAUAUCCCUAAUGCACACGUUAUUUUGUCUCUCUUUCUCUGUUUCUUUGUAUUUUGGCAUUUUACGCGCAAACAAAAAAACAGACAAAUUUGAAAAAUGUAUGUGUAACCAGACUUGCGCAAAUAAAUGUUUACCUGCUGUUCUACUCUA